CACGUAGGGUGCGAGCGUUGUCCGGAAUUAUUGGGCGUAAAGAGCUCGUAGGCGGUGUGUCGCGUCGGCCGUGAAAACCUGCAGCUUAACUGUGGGCGUGCGGUCGAUACGGGCAUCACUGGAGUUCGGCAGGGGAGACUGGAAUUCCUGGUGUAGCGGUGAAAUGCGCAGAUAUCAGGAGGAACACCGGUGGCGAAGGCGGGUCUCUGGCCGAUACUGACGCUGAGGAGCGAAAGCGUGGGGAGCAAACAGG
rnacentral:rRNA from 1 species